rnacentral:rRNA from 1 species
GACGAACGCUGGCGGCGUGCUUAACACAUGCAAGUCGAACGGUGAAGGGAAGCUUGCUUCCCGGAUCAGUGGCGAACGGGUGAGUAACACGUGGGCAAUCUGCCCCCAGACUUUGGGAUAACUACUCGAAAGAGUAGCUAAUACCGAAUAUUCAGCCUUGCAGGCAUCUGCGAGGCUGGAAAGUUUCUCGGUCUGGGAUGAGCCCGCGGCCUAUCAGCUAGUUGGUGAGGUAAUGGCUCACCAAGGCGACGACGGGUAGCCGGCCUGAGAGGCGACCGGCCACACUGGGACUGAGACACGGCCCAGACUCCUACGGGAGGCAGCAGUGGGGAAUAUUGCGCAAUGGGCGAAAGCCUGACGCAGCAACGCCGCGUGCGGGAUGAAGGCCUCGGUUGUAACG